rnacentral:rRNA from 1 species
GUCCUGGCUGUAAACGAUGCUCACUAAGUAGGGAGAACUGAUUUCUUCCCUGCCGAACCUAACGGAUUAAGUGAGCCGCCUGGGGGAGUACGGGUCGCAAGGCUAAAACUCAAAGGAAUUGACGGGGCUCGCACAAGCGGUGGAGCAUGUGGUUCAAUUCGAAGCAACGCGAAGAACCUUACCCGGGCUUGACAUGCACGUAGUAGGAACCUGAAAGGGGACGACCCGUAGAGUCGGGAGCGUGCACAGGUGUUGCAUGGCUGUCGU